AUGCGAAACAUUACACAUUCGGGGAUAAUGUUAUGUUCCUUUCCAAGGUGUUGGUGGGCCGUUCAAUGGUGGGAGGUUCCCUCACGGUAGUUCCACCCGAAUCGUACGAUACUACGACAAAUGCCCGGAACACCGUAUGGCGUUUUAAACAGUAUUCUUCUCCGGAUGAGGACCGAAUCAGAAGGGGGCUCAUUUAGAAUUUUUGAUGACUGAAUAACAUGUGAAGAAGUUUAUCUCAUUGUGUCCAUUUGCAACGAAAUAUACGUAAUUGUUGGUAAUUGUUCAGUAACGUUAUUAAAUUUAAAGGGAAUGGACCCACUGAAAUGAACUUGUAAGUUUAAACUAUUAUUGUUCAAUAUUUUUUUAAUUUUCUUAAAACAGUAUUAACUAACCACAGUAUUGUAUUCCAUAAUCUUUAACAAUAUAAUGUCCAUUUAUGCAAUUAUUGUAAUUUUAUUUUCAAAUAAAAUAUUUUUAUGUACAAUCGAACAAA